rfam:Beta vulgaris subsp. vulgaris Bvchr9.sca004.con0044.1, whole genome shotgun sequence.
GCCUAUUAUGGCAGUCGGCUCUCGCAUCGAUGAAGAACAUAUGCGAAAUGCGAUACUUGGUGUGAAUUGCAGAAUCCCAUGAACCACCGACUCUUGACAAUGCCAUUGAUUAUUGUUU